CCCAUACAUACAGGCGAACACCAACUCGCGCCUCCACACUUCAUCCGCGCGCGCCCGUCCGCUCGCUCUCGCGCGCCAGCGCCCCCUCCCCACCACGUGACCUGCUGUCUGGGAGCCCGCUGCGCGGCGAUCCAGCAGUGUGGCGCGAACCGAGCCCCUGCUCUCUGGCAGAACAUCCCCUACGCGACUCGCCCUUCUGCCCCGCGGUCCAAAGAGUUCGCGAUGACCUACACACCUCGCGGCGGAAACGUCGGUCUCAUCUCUCAGUUUCUAGCAGAGAAAAGGGAAGAGCCGUCCAGGACGAAUAUAGGCGUGCCCCGGGGACCUGACUCUGAGAUGUGAGGGGUGAUGGGCUGGAAAGGGCCUGGAAGAGGAAAAAAAUGGAAUUGAGCACGGGUGCAACCCGGACUCGAGAAAAGGCCGAGGGGCCGGCGGUUAAGAGCCUGGGCUGUGGACUCGGACGUGUGCGGAAGUCGAUCCGGAUUUCACCACUUCAUUUUAGUGGCCUCGGGGAAGUUACUCAAAUCCUCUGUGCCUGUUUCCUCAUCUUUAAAAUGGCAACAGUAAUAGAACCGAUCUCAUAGUUUCGUUAAUUUUUGAGUUUAUGGAACUUCCUUACUAUACAGCCUGACCUUUCUGGUAAGACCUUUGGUGAAUAUGAAGUCAGAAGGCAGGAAAGAGCAGGUAAGAAGGUGGUGGUGAGACUGGCUCCAUGGGGUAGCGUAUGUAGGUCGGAAACAUGAAUAAGAAUGCAGAAAGGCCAGUUAUAUCGUGUGGCAAACCUUCGAUGUUUGCGAGACGAUGUAAUUAUAGCUAACAAUUUGGGGCGGGGUUGAUUAUAUAUUAAACAUUUCACCAGAAUGGUCUUGUAUAACCCUCACACCCCUAUGAAGUAGGAACUAAUAUUUUGCAAAUUAGAGGCCUGAGGCUCAGAGAUUAAGCAACUUCCCUGCGGUCCCAGUGGCCAACAUUUGAAGUCAGACUCCAGAGUCUCAUUAUGUCAUAAAAGCCAGGCUUUCACUUAUCUCACGGGCCUGUCCCAGUCCCUAACAGUUUGGCACCCUAAUCAGCUGGUUUCUCUGGCUCUCUGCUGGCAGGAGAUGAUUUGGUAAAAACAGUGAGGUAGAAAACAAGUUGGCUGCAAAAAAUGUUAGCUCAGCAUGACAAAUUAAUAAAAAAAUGAGUGUUUCCAACCACUGGCUUUUUGUGUGUUUGGUAAUUCUGGUGAUCAAGGAUUUGCUUUACUUCCUUGGAUCUUAGGGAAUUUUAAUGUGCACAUGCAUAUAAAUAUGUUUUUUCAAGGAAUCAUACUGUAAGCAUACCAUUUACUAUAUAUUUUAUAUUUGCAGUAGCUUGAUAGUAUAGAUAUCCAACAAUUCAUUAAAGAAAUCCUAGUGUGAGACUUUACAUUGUUUCUUAAUAAUUGUCUGAAAAUUAAUUUGAUUUAAAAAGCACAAAAGUUGGGAAAAAACUAAAAAAUUAUGAUAAACUGACAGUAACACUUAAAGACUUUGAAGGUGACAAGAAAUCCCUAUGGAAUACAAGUGGCUGGAAAUAUUCUUUUUUUACUUAUUUAAUCUCUAAUCCAAUUUAUUUUCAACCAAAUCACCUGAGGCUCUAUCUAUGGCAGUCCAAUUCCCACACCCUCAUUCUGAAUGGUGGUCUGAUAUAGCUUGUCUCCUAUUCCUUGUUUCUCUUAGAAAUAGUUUUGGCCUAUACUCUUUGUAACCUAUAUCACUGUUUAGAAUCUUCCCUAGCAAAUAUUCCUUCCAGAUAUGGUCCUUCAUAUUUGCCAGACCUACCUUCCUUUUUGACUCUGGCUACUGAAGUCCUCAUCCUGAGGACAUUCAUUCAUUCAUUCAUCCUGUAGUAUUCAGGUCUUUAGUAUAGUCUGAGGCGUGGAGAGGAGUAAUAACAAUAGUAAUGGUAAAUUGGUGAUAGCUACAAUUUAUGGAGUGCUUACUAUAUGCUUUGUACCCUAAGCACUUUACAUAUAUUAACUCAUUUAAUACUCACAAAAUGCUAUAACAGGUGCUAUUAUUAUUCCCAUUUUUCAAAUGCAGUACCUGAGAUACAAACAGGUUAAGUAAGUUGCUCAAGGUCACAUAAUCUGUAUUGUCUGGGGUCAUCAGGAAGUAGUCAGUAUUUAGUUCUCACCAAAAAUACAUGAGUAGAAAUUAUUAUAAUAACUAUUAAUACCACAGGAAACUAAUCCAUAGAGUUUGGAGGCCAUCUUAAUUUUGGAAAGCCCUGUGCUAUUUUCCUUCUUCCCUUGGCAGAGCUAAACAACAUGGAAGCUGCGUUUAAAACCGGAAGGUGCACUGCAGGAAACUACUCCCCAACCUCCUCCAGUCUCCCUGCUUAUCUAAAUUUUGGGUGGCUGUGAGUCUCUAAAUAGCUAAGUCAGGUGGAGAUGGGCAAGGAGUCAGCCUUGUUUUUUAACAACUUAUUUUUUUUUUAAUAUAGGUAUUUUUAUUAGAGCAGUUGUAGGUUUACAGAAAAAUUAUGCAGUAAAUAUAUAGAAUUCUCGUAUGCCUCUCCCCACACACAGUUUUCUCUAUUACUAAUGUUUUGUAUUAGUUGCAUUAGUGUGGUACCUUUGUUACAAUUGGUGAAUCAGUAUUAUAAUUACAUAUUUAACUAAAGACCAUAGUUUACAUUAGGGUUCUAUUCUUUGUGUUGUACAGUUCUAUGGAUUUUAAAAAAUUUUAUUCUGAUAACAUAUAUACAACCUAAAAUGAACCAUUUAACCAUUUGCUGGUAUACAGUUCAGUGGUGUUAAAUACACAUAGUGUAGUACUGCAAUCACCACCAUGCAUUACCAAAACUUUUCCAUCACCCCAAAUAGAAACUCUGUACCAAUCAAGCAUUAACUCCCCAUUCCCUACACCAACUCCUAUCCUAACAAUCUUUGUUAUAAUUUCUGACAAUGAAUUUGUGUAUUCUAAUUAUUUCAUAUGUGCCAUCAUGCCGUGUUUGUCCUUUUGCGUCUGAUCUAUUUCACUCAAUAUGUUCUCAAGGUUCGUUUAUGUUGUAGCGUGUAUCAGAACUUCAUUGCUUUUUAUGAGAGAGUGAGUAUUAUAGAUUUUCUUUAUCCAUUCUUCCCAACAGCUUUAUUUUAAGAUCAUAUAUAUUCUAGGAAGUUCUGGGUGUCCUCACACCCAUAUUCCUGAUCUUUCAGUAUAAGAACUUGGACCUUAUGGCCCUCAAGUGUGGCGAUAGACAUUUGGAGCUCUUGAAGAACUGCAUGUCCAGCCUGGUGUGACUCAAGGGAGAGGGGUAUGCAGAGAAGGCAACCUCUUAUGAUCAUCAUGACUAGCUUUAUGUAUCUACCUGCUGGGGUGCCAGUCCUGGAUGUUCCACUUGAACCUUGAUACUGCUGCACUGUUGAACAAGAUGGGACUUAAAGCACAGAACCCAAUCUGUGGUGACUUCCAGGAGCCCCAAAUCUGCCAUAAUGCCCUGCCUGCAUUGCACAGUACCUGCAAAAUCUGUUCCCAGGUUAUAGAAUAAGGCCAGACCCCUCUGGGUACGGUGUAAAGGCUUCUCUAAAGAAGGUGAGUAUGCUCAUUGUCAGUUAUUCCAAGGAGAAGAGAAUCUUCACACAGAAAAACUGGGAACAUGGAACAGGGGGAAGGUGGUGUUCUCUGGAUUUCCCUUUUAGGAUCUGGACUUGGAGGAGUCAAGAACUGUUGAUGGCCGUUCUUCAUGACACAGGGAAAAGGGCCUCUACCACAGAGCUGCCUACUAGGAGCCAGGCACAUAGGCUUUCCUAUAGAUCCAAAAAUGAAGACUGGAAGAUAUCUUCAAAUGGAGGCACACACAGAUGAAGGCCAAUGACAUUCCCAUGAAGCCAGCUCUCUUGGCAGCUGGUUAUUCAGUCUUGGCGCUUCUUUCUUGGCAUUCUGUCCUCUACAGGAAAAAAAUAAAAUGGAGGUUACUGAAUAGGCCUCCCACUCAAAUACCUAACUUCCCUGAUGAGCUUGAUUCUUGCUUGCAAACUAUAUGUGGAGUUUGGUUCAGUUAAAUUUUUAUGACACCAAAGUUGUUAAAAGGAAAUAAAUUAUUGUAUUACUAUA